CAUUCAUCAAGCCCUCAAUGAGCUGAAUCAGGUGUGCUUGACCAGGGUUGGGAAACACUUCACCAGUGUACCGCCACGAUGAUUAGAUAUAUAAUUGCCUCUUUAAGUACGUUUUUUAUAUAAUGGAGGGGUUGCUUAUUUGAGUGUUGUUUUGUAUAAAGCUUUGCCUGUUUCGGUUUAGGUGUUUUUGCCAAAGGUAAUAAUUAUCUGCUUAGGAGUGAUGCGCUACGAAAGGAAUUCUAUUUCAGUUUUUUAAUGAAAGACAAUGUUUUUGAAGGGAAUAAAAUGCACUUUUAAGUGAAUGUUGUAACAAAACUA